UACGAAGGGGGCUAGCGUUGCUCGGAUUGACUGGGCGUAAAGGGCGCGUAGGCGGCUUACACAGUCAGACGUGAAAUUCCUGGGCUCAACCUGGGGGCUGCGUUUGAUACAUGUAGGCUUGAGUUCGGAAGAGGGUCGUGGAAUUCCCAGUGUAGAGGUGAAAUUCGUAGAUAUUGGGAAGAACACCGGUGGCGAAGGCGGCGACCUGGUCCGAUACUGACGCUGAGGCGCGAAAGCUAGGGGAGCAAACAGG
rnacentral:rRNA from 1 species